rnacentral:rRNA from 1 species
AUUGAACGCUGGCGGCAGGCCUAACACAUGCAAGUCGAACGAGUGGCGGACGGGUGAGUAAUGUCUGGGAAACUGCCCGAUGGAGGGGGAUAACUACUGGAAACGGUAGCUAAUACCGCCUACCAUCGGAUGAGCCCAUAUGGGAUUAGCUUGUAGGUGGGGUAACGGCUCACCUAGGCGACGAUCCCUAGCUGGUCUGAGAGGAUGACCAGCCACACUGGAACGGAGACACGGUCCAAACUCCUACGGGAGGCAGCAGUGGGGAAUAUUGCACAAUGGGCGCAAUCCUGAGGCAGCCAUGCCGCUUGUAUGAAGAAGGCCUUCGGGUUGUAAAGUACUUUCAGCGGGGAGGCGUUACCCGCAGAAGAAGCAUCGGCUAACUCCGUGCCAGCCGCCGCGGUAAUUC